ACCAGACUCCUACGGGAGGCAGCAGUGGGGAAUAUUGCACAAUGGGGGAAACCCUGAUGCAGCGACGCCGCGUGAGUGAAGAAGUAUUUCGGUAUGUAAAGCUCUAUCAGCAGGGAAGAAAAUGACGGUACCUGACUAAGAAGCCCCGGCUAACUACGUGCCAGCAGCCGCGGUAAUACGUAGGGGGCAAGCGUUAUCCGGAUUUACUGGGUGUAAAGGGAGCGUAGACGGCAUGGCAAGUCAGAUGUGAAAGCCCGGGGCUCAACCCCGGGACUGCAUUUGAAACUGUCGGGCUGGAGUGCAGGAGAGGUAAGUGGAAUUCCUAGUGUAGCGGUGAAAUGCGUAGAUAUUAGGAGGAACACCAGUGGCGAAGGCGGCUUGCUGGACCGUAACUGACGUUGAGGCUCGAAAGCGUGGGGAGCAAACAGGAUUAGAUACCCCUGUACC
rnacentral:rRNA from 1 species